rnacentral:rRNA from 1 species
AUUGAACGCUGGCGGCAUGCCUUACACAUGCAAGUCGAACGGCAGCACGGGAGCAAUCCUGGUGGCGAGUGGCGAACGGGUGAGUAAUAUAUCGGAACGUGCCCAGUCGUGGGGGAUAACGCAGCGAAAGCUGUGCUAAUACCGCAUACGAUCGAAGGAUGAAAGCGGGGGAUCGCAAGACCUCGCGCGAUUGGAGCGGCCGAUAUCAGAUUAGCUAGUUGGUGGGGUAAAGGCCCACCAAGGCGACGAUCUGUAGCUGGUCUGAGAGGACGACCAGCCACACUGGAACUGAGACACGGUCCAGACUCCUACGGGAGGCAGCAGUGGGGAAUUUUGGACAAUGGGCGCAAGCCUGAUCCAGCAAUGCCGCGUGCAGGAUGAAGGCCUUCGGGUUGUAAACUGCUUUUGUACGGAACGAAACGGCCCUUUCUAAUACAGGGGGCUAAUGACGGUACCGUAAGAAAAAGCACCGGCUAACUACGUGCCAGCAGCCGCCGUAA